UAACCCUGCAAUGGACAAAGAGAUACCUUGGUGGUGGUGGUGUUUUAUCAACCAGGGGCAGAGAAAAAUGCCAAUCCUUUGUUCAUCCUAGCUUGAUUCCUGGCUUGGUGUCCAAAGCUGUUUUAUGCCUAGGACUCAUGA